rnacentral:rRNA from 1 species
CCUACGGGAGGCAGCAGUGAGGAAUAUUGGUCAAUGGACGAGAGUCUGAACCAGCCAAGUAGCGUGAAGGAUGACUGCCCUAUGGGUUGUAAACUUCUUUUAUAUGGGAAUAAAAUGUUCCACGUGUGGGAUUUUGUAUGUACCAUCUGAAUAAGGAUCGGCUAACUCCGUGCCAGCAGCCGCGGUAAUACGGAGGAUCCGAGCGUUAGCCGGAUUUAUUGGGUUUAAAGGGAGCGUAGGUGGAGUGUUAAGUCAGUUGUGAAAGUUUGCGGCUCAACCGUAAAAUUGCAGUUGAAACUGGCAGUCUUGAGUACAGUAGAGGUGGGCGGAAUUCGUGGUGUAGCGGUGAAAUGCUUAGAUAUCACGAAGAACUCCGAUUGCGAAGGCAGUUCACUGGACUGCAACUGACACUGAGGCUCGAAAGUGUGGGUAUCAAACAGGAUUAGAUACCCAGUAGUC